GGCCCAAUGGUCUAGUAGUAUGAUUCGCGCUUCGGGAGUUUCCCGGUCUUACGACCACAAGAUGCGCGAGGUCCCGGGUUCAAUUCCCGGUUGGGCCC
rnacentral:tRNA from 2 species